GACGAGCGCUGGCGGCGUGCCUAACACAUGCAAGUCGAGCGGAGCCAACCGAUAGAUCCUUUCGGGGUGACAUCGGGGAAGCUUAGCGGCGGACGGGUGAGUAACGCGUGAGUAACCUGCCCAUAAGAGGGGAAUAACACAGCGAAAGUUGUGCUAAUACCGCAUAAUAUGUUUUUACCGCAUGAUAGAAACAUCAAAGAUUUAUCGCUGAGAGAUGGGCUCGCGUCCAAUUAGCUAGAUGGUGAGGUAACGGCUCACCAUGGCGACGAUUGGUAGCCGGACUGAGAGGUUGAACGGCCACAUUGGGACUGAAACACGGCCCAGACUCCUACGGGAGGCAGCAGUGGGGAAUAUUGCACAAUGGGGGAAACCCUGAUGCAGCGACGCCGCGUGAGCGAAGAAGGUUUUCGGAUCGUAAAGCUCUGUCUUCAGGGACGAUAAUGACGGUACCUGAGGAGGAAGCCACGGCUAACUACGUGCUAGCAGCC
rnacentral:rRNA from 1 species